CACAUGUGACGAGUUUGAUCCGUGGCUCAGAACGAACGCUGGCGGCAUGCCUAACACAUGCAAGUCGAACGAGACUUCGGUCUAGUGGCGGACGGGUGAGUAACGCGUAGGAACCUGCCAAGCAGUGGGGAAUAACAGCUGGAAACGGCUGCUAAUACCGCAUACGCCCUUCGGGGGAAAGAUUUAUCGCUGUUUGAGGGUCCUGCGUUCGAUUAGCUAGUUGGUGAGGUAACGGCCCACCAAGGCGACGAUCGAUAGCUGGUCUGAGAGGAUGAUCAGCCACACUGGGACUGAGACACGGCCCAGACUCCUACGGGAGGCAGCAGGUGGGGAAUAUUGGACAAUGGGGGAAACCCUGAUCCAGCAAUGCCGCGUGCGUGAAGAAGGCCUUAGGGUUGUAAAGCGCUUUCACCUGUGAUGAUGAUGACAGUAGCAGGAGAAGAAGCCCCGGCUAACUCCGUG
rnacentral:rRNA from 1 species